GAGAGAGAGAGAGAGAGAGGUGAACCUAACAUAAAUUUGGUCAAUGAAUGUUUAGUUUAACCACUGAUAUAGAAUAGAUGUUUUCCAAAGAGAGAAGUAAUAUGAUCAUUUCCCUCGGAGACUAAAAUGGGAGGGUAGGAAUAGCCAAAAAGAAAUUUACUUGUACAACACUGUAAAAUCUGAGAUGUGAAACACCUGGGGGCCUUCAAUUCAGAUUUGGACUUUUACAGGAGGAAGGUAUUUUUCUUGGAUUUGUGACAUUUUAGCAUCAACAAUUAGUUCUCCCUCAGCUUCUCCCAACUGGAAAAUAAUAGCCGCAGAAGAGAACAGAAAAUUGCCUUUAUGCAAGAUAUUAUGAAGUUGCAACAGGAAGAAGGCCAGCACCAUGGAUAUAACAGUCGGAAAAACAGACUUAUAAGGUGUCGAGGGUACCGUCCCACAGGGAAAAGCAAAUCUAAAGCUUCCCAGGCUGCAUGACGAACAGCUCUGGUGGGAUACAUUGGACCACCAGGAGAAGUAAAGCUAUACAAACAUGCUCUUAGUCUUGUACUUGUGGUCAUUCUCAGUUCCAUGCCUUGGAGAACUUUAAUUUGAGAGAGGUAAUGCAAUAGAACUGGUUCCACCUUCAGCUUUUGAAGCUGGUCUGCAAGUUCAAUCACAAAGAAGUCCACUGGACCACCAACCAAGAAAGCAUUUGGAAAAACAGGAAACCGCUUUAAGAAGAUUUCAAGUUUGUAGUCUAAGUUGUAAAAAAGUAAGAAUCUUGAAAGUAGAAGAAACAGAUCUCGCUGGGCCUGAAUUAAUUAAAGAUGGACAAAAAUCAGAUCAAGGAUAGUUGUCACAUGCUUGCCAGCUAAAUGAUGGCUCCAGAGUUCAAAACAUAUUUUUAAAAUAUAGAGUAUCAACAGCAGACCAAAACUAUUCAAAGCAAAAUAAUUGCUUUUUAAGACACAGAGAAGCAGUGACUGCUGAACCUGCACUGGAAUUUUAUUCAAGCGCUUAGGCUCUAGUGCAACUUCCUUCAGGAGAUACUGAAAAAGGGCUUGAAAAUGCCUAGUGUUCGUUUGGAUGUCAAUCCUGAAAACAGGUAUUAAACAAAAAAUUAUCACAUUUUACAUCAUUGUUAUACAUAUGUAAAUUGAUAAUGAAAUAUAUACGUAAAUAUACAUGCAAUUGUCUCCAACCACAAGGUAAAAUGCAAAAUUGUAGUUUACUCUAUCUUGCAACACAUUAAGCCACUUAGAAAUGUGCUUGGUUUGAUAACCAGAUAUUCAUCAACCAGAAGGAAGGACAGAAUACAUUGAUUUAGUACUCCCUUUGGGAAAAAUUCUACAGAUAACAAGCUAUGAACAGUUAGAUUUUAAUCUCAUUUCUCACAUGGAUCCUAAUAGAAGCAAUAAAAUGAUAAAUAUAGCCAAUCCCAACUAAUUUGGGAUUAAGGCAUUGUUGUUCUCACAUUGAAUUGAUUUCAUAAGAGUGACCAAAACCUAAUUCAUCUCUAAAGAAGAAGAAAAUGGAAAGAGAUGUGCAAAAUAAAAAUAACUUUGAACCUUAUGAUGGCCAAUUUCAUAACUAGAAUUUUUUUUUUUCCCCAAAUCCAGUGCAAGAAAAAGUCAGUUUCAUUCCUGUAAUGUAUUGAUAAGCAUAAUCUAAGAGUGCUGCUGAUACUCAAUUACAAUUCAAUCAAAAGCCAUUAGUGACUCCUUAGGAGCUGCAAAAGCACUAUCAAUCUACAAAAGAUUGCCAAUAUUCAUACCAGAAAACAUUUGUAGCACCUUGAACAAGAGCAGAUGAGUAACGUAUAAGUACUUCAGUACUAUCAAGAUGGGCUUCAAAUAGCUGCAGAAGGAACAAGUACUGAUCAGGAAUCAUAGGACCUUAGAAAGCGGAUCAAGACUUAUAAUUUACUACACAAUUUUAAUAGUAGAAAUAGAUGCCAUUGGUACAUUAUUAACAUAAAAAACCAUAACAAGGCCUGAAAUCAUAUUCAUAGAAGCAACCUUUCAUAUGAAAACCUCGACAGAAGAUAAUAACGUUAUAUCUGAACUACAAAGGCAUUGAAUAAAAUUUUCCUAGUUAUUACAUAAAAUAAAUCCAAUGGAAACUGAAGGUGAAUUCAAUCGGUAAAAACUAUUUGUUCAUUUUCCAAGAAAAAUAAUAGCCUUCAGAAACCAAAUCCAAACCUAAGAACAGAAUUUUAUUAGAGCCCAAAAUAUGUAACAGGUGAUAGGGCUGAGACAUAUGACAAGACACUAAUAACUUAUAGUUUGUAAUAACAUGCAUAUAGAAACACAUAUACACACGAUUUUUCUAAUUGAGUGCAAUAUUGCAUUCGUUAAAAGUCAUUAAAUAUGCUUAUUUAUUAUUAAUUUUGUAUCAAUAACAUAACAAAUUAUAAUUUCUAUGUAGUAUUGCACCAUUUUCGAUGAAAUAUUACGCAUUUCUAUGUAAUAUUGAUAAUUU
rnacentral:misc_RNA from 1 species